rnacentral:rRNA from 1 species
GACGAACUCUGGCGGCGUGCUUAACACAUGCAAGUCGAACGGAAAGGCCCUGCUUUUGUGGGGUGCUCGAGUGGCGAACGGGUGAGUAACACGUGAGUAACCUGCCCUUGACUUUGGGAUAACUUCAGGAAACUGGGGCUAAUACCGGAUAGGAGCUCCUGCUGCAUGGUGGGGGUUGGAAAGUUUCGGCGGUUGGGGAUGGACUCGCGGCUUAUCAGCUUGUUGGUGGGGUAGUGGCUUACCAAGGCUUUGACGGGUAGCCGGCCUGAGAGGGUGACCGGCCACAUUGGGACUGAGAUACGGCCCAGACUCCUACGGGAGGCAGCAGUGGGGAAUACUGCACGAUGGGCGGAAGCCUGAUGCAGCAACGCCGCGUGCGGGAUGACGGCCUUCGGGUUGUAAACCGCUUUCGCCUGUGACGAAGCGUGAGUGACGGUAAUGGGUAAAGAAGCACCGGCUAACUACGUGCCAGCAGCCGCGGUGAUACGUAGGGUGCGAGCGUUGUCCGGAUUUAUUGGGCGUAAAGGGCUCGUAGGUGGUUGAUCGCGUCGGAGGUGUAAUCUUGGGGCUUAACCCUGAGCGUGCUUUCGAUACGGGUUGACUUGAGGAAGGUAGGGGAGAAUGGAAUUCCUGGUGGAGCGGUGGAAUGCGCAGAUAUCAGGAGGAACACCAGUGGCGAAGGCGGUUCUCUGGGCCUUUCCUGACGCUGAGGAGCGAAAGCGUGGGGAGCGAACAGGCUUAGAUACCCUGGUAGUCCACGCUGUAAACGGUGGGUACUAGGUGUGGGGUCCAUUCCACGGGUUCCGUGCCGUAGCUAACGCUUUAAGUACCCCGCCUGGGGAGUACGGCCGCAAGGCUAAAACUCAAAGGAAUUGACGGGGCCCCGCACAAGCGGCGGAGCAUGCGGAUUAAUUCGAUGCAACGCGUAGAACCUUACCUGGGUUUGACAUGGAUCGGGAGUGCUCAGAGAUGGGUGUGCCUCUUUUGGGGUCGGUUCACAGGUGGUGCAUGCCUGUCGUCAGCUCGUGUCGUGAGAUGUUGGGUUAAGUCCCGCAACGAGCGCAACCCUUGUUCACUGUUGCCAGCACGUUAUGGUGGGGACUCAGUGGAGACCGCCGGGGUCAACUCGGAGGAAGGUGGGGAUGACGUCAAGUCAUCAUGCCCCUUAUGUCCAGGGCUUCACGCAUGCUACAAUGGCUGGUACAGAGAGUGGCGAGCCUGUGAGGGUGAGCGAAUCUCGGAAAGCCGGUCUCAGUUCGGAUUGGGGUCUGCAACUCGACCUCAUGAAGUCGGAGUCGCUAGUAAUCGCAGAAAAGCAACGCUGCGGUGAAUACGUUCCCGGGGCU